rnacentral:lncRNA from 10 species
UUUCAUUUCAGCCACUCUGAUGGUUGUAUAUAAAUACAGUAUGUUACUUUUGAUUUGCAUUUUUUGAUGACUAAUGAUGAGUUGCAUUACUUUAUCUUAUUAAUUUGAAAGAGAUCCUUAUACAUUACAAUUAAGAAUUCUGUAUCAUAUAUAUGAAUAUAUAGUGAACAGCACCUCCCACUCUAUGGGUUGCCCUUUCACCAUGAAGUAUACCUUGAGGAACAGAAGUUCUCUGUCUCUCCAGGAGGACACAAAGAAAAGAUCAAGACAGCAUGUAGCAAAUGUAGCAAGGAGGCAUCCAAUCAUCUGCAACCCAAGGGGCAAACCCUCGCCACACACCAACCCUGCUGGCUCCUUGCUUUUGGACUUCCAGUUUCAGAAUUAUGAGAAAAUACAUUUCUGUGUUUAGGCCAUCAAGUCUAUUGUAUUUUGUUCUGACAGCCUGAACAGACUAAUACACAGUAUAAUACAAUUGAAUUGUUGAUUCAUCUAAGAAAUAUAUAAUUUCUACAUGGUUUGUUGCAAUUAUCUGGGAAUAAAUAUUACCAUGACCACU